rnacentral:lncRNA from 1 species
GGACAACAGCCAGCAAGACAGUAAGGACUUCAGUUGCACAACCACAGGGAAAUGAAUUAUGCCGACAACCCUAAGGAGUAUGAAGCUGAUCUGUUCCUAGCCCAGUGUCUCCAUGAGGAUGCAGUCAGUGAACAACAUGAUUUCUGCUUUCUGAGACCCUGAACACCGGACCAACUGACAUACACUGGACUCCUGGCCUAUGCAAAACGAUCUGAGCCCCUUUUCUCCUGAUUAAUCCACUGCAGGCCUAGAGCCAAGCUGCCCUGUUUAUUAAAACGGGAUACCCACUACAGCGUCCACUGCAGAUGCACUUCAAGAUUUCAAAGACUUCCAGCCACAAGAAGACGGCAAGUGAAGAAAAUAGGAGAAAGUGAAUAGAUUUCAAGGCAAAGUCUUGAGAACUUCUUAAGAAUUGAAAGAGACCAAUCUGCUGAGCUUAUGAAAAGAAAGCAACAAAAAACUGAAUAGCCAAUUCUAAAGGCCAAAACAGUUGAGAAGAGUAAAGAGGAAAGAAGGAAGAAAAAGCAAACAUUUACUUUAGUAAUUUUAAAUGUUUGAAGAUUAAAAAAAACAAAAUA